UACGUAGGGCGCAAGCGUUGUCCGGAAUUAUUGGGCGUAAAGAGCUCGUAGGCGGUCUGUCGCGUCGGCUGUGAAAACCCGGAGCUCAACUCCGGGCCUGCAGUCGAUACGGGCAGACUAGAGUGCGGUAGGGGAGACUGGAAUUCCUGGUGUAGCGGUGAAAUGCGCAGAUAUCAGGAGGAACACCGGUGGCGAAGGCGGGUCUCUGGGCCGUAACUGACGCUGAGGAGCGAAAGCGUGGGGAGCAAACAGG
rnacentral:rRNA from 1 species